rnacentral:rRNA from 1 species
AUGCUAGUCGAGCGAACAGAAGGGAGCUUGCUCCCGGAUGUUAGCGGCGGACGGGUGAGUAACACGUGGGUAACCUGCCUGUAAGACUGGGAUAACUCCGGGAAACCGGAGCUAAUACCGGAUAGUUCCUUGAACCGCAUGGUUCAAGGAUGAAAGACGGUUUCGGCUGUCACUUACAGAUGGACCCGCGGCGCAUUAUCUAGUUGGUGGGGUAAUGGCUCACCAAGGCGACGAUGCGUAGCCCACCUGAGAGGGUGAUCGGCCACACUGGGACUGAGACACGGCCCAGACUCCUACGGGAGGCCGCAGUAGGGAAUCUUCCGCAAUGGACGAAAGUCUGACAGAGCCACGCCGCGUGAGUGAUGAAGGUUUUCGGAUCGUAAAGCUCUGUUGUUAGGGAAGAACAAGUGCGAGAGUAACUGCUCGCACCUUUACGGUACCUAACCAGAAAGCCACGGCUAACUACGUGCCAGCAGCCGCGGUAAUACGUAGGUGGCAAGCGUUGUCCGGAAUUAUUGGGCGUAAAGGGCUCGCAGGCGGUUUCUUAAGUCUGAUGUGAAAGCCCCCGGCUCAACCGGGGAGGGUCAUUGGAAACUGGGAAACUUGAGUGCAGAAGAAGAGAGUGGAAUUCCACGUGUAGCGGUGAAAUGCGUAGAGAUGUGGAGGAACACCAGUGGCGAAGGCGACUCUCUGGUCUGUAACUGACGCUGAGGAGCGAAAGCGUGGGGAGCGAACAGGAUUAAAUACCCCG